UUAAUAUAUGCGGGAGUCAAUGGGCCUUGGCCAGGCCCAGAGGCUCAAUCAAAGCAAAGGGUUGCAGAACGCCGUCUGAGUUGGGAUCCUGAAGCUUUCCGGCGUCCAAGGAGCAUCAACGACCCGUCCUGUCCGAUUUAUUUCCAUCGGCCGGAGUAUUGAGCGUACAUGUUGGGACCCGAAAGAUGGUGAACUAUGCCCGGGCAGGACGAGGCCAGAGGAGCUGUUUUGACAUGCAAAUCGAUCGUCAGAUCUGGGCCUAGGGGCGAAAGACUAAUUAAACCAUCUAGCAGCUGG
rnacentral:ncRNA from 1 species